rnacentral:rRNA from 1 species
GACGUAGGGGGCCAGCGUUGUUCGGAAUUACUGGGUGUAAAGGGUUCGUAGGCGGUGCGGCAAGUCGGGAGUGAAAUCUCUGGGCUUAACCCAGAGGCUGCUUCCGAAACUGCUGUGCUUGAGUGUGGGAGAGGCGCGUGGAAUUGCAGGUGUAGCGGUGAAAUGCGUAGAUAUCGAGAGGAACACCUGCGGCGAAGGCGGGUAGCUGGGCCGACACUGACGCUGAGGCGCGAAAGCCAGGGGAGCGAACGGG